GCGAGGGUGGCGAAAUUGGCAGACGCGCUAGACUUAGGAUCUAGUCCCGCAAGGGGUGGGGGUUCGAGUCCCCCCUCUCGCA
rnacentral:tRNA from 1 species